CGCGGGAUUAGGGUUUGAUCAUGGCUCAGAUUGAACGCUGGCGGCUUGCCUAACACAUGCAAGUCGAGCGCGAAAGCACUUCGGUGUGAGUAGAGCGGCGGACGGGUGAGUAACGCGUAGGAAUCUACCUGGUAGUGGGGGACAACUCGUGGAAACUCGAGCUAAUACCGCAUACGCCCUACAGGGGAAAGCGGGGGACCUUCGGGCCUCGCGCUAUCAUAUGAGCCUGCGUUGGAUUAGCUAGUUGGUGGGGUAAUGGCCUACCAAGGCGACGAUCCAUAGCUGGUCUGAGAGGAUGAUCAGCCACACCGGGACUGAGACACGGCCCGGACUCCUACGGGAGGCAGCAGUGGGGAAUAUUGCGCAAUGGGCGAAAGCCUGACGCAGCCAUGCCGCGUGUGUGAAGAAGGCCUUCGGGUUGUAAAGCACUUUCGAUUGGGAGGAAAGGUUCACGGNUAAUACCCGUGAGCCGUGACGUUACCUUUAGAAGAAGCACCGGCUAACUCCGUGC
rnacentral:rRNA from 1 species